rnacentral:rRNA from 1 species
CCUACGGGUGGCAGCAGUGGGGGAUAUUGCACAAUGGGGGGAACCCUGAUGCAGCGACGCCGCGUGGGUGAAGGAGCGUUUCGGCUCGUAAAGCCCUAUCGGCAGGGAAGAAGGAGGACGGUACCUGACUAAGAAGCCCCGGCUAACUACGGGCCAGCAGCCGCGGUAAUACGGAGGGGGCACGCGUUAUCAGGAUUUACUGGGCGUAAAGGGGGCGCAGACAGCAGCGCAAGCCAGGCGUGAAAGCCCGGGGGACAACCCCGGAACUGCUCUUGAAACUGGGCGGCUGGAGUGCAGGAGAGGCAGGCGGAAUGCCUGGUGUAGCGGUGAAAUGCGUAGAGAUCAGGAGGAACACCGGUGGCGAAGGCGGCCUGCUGGACUGCGACUGACGUUGAGGCCCGAAAGCGUGGGGAGCAAACAGGAUUAGAUACCCUAGUAGUC